ACGAACGCUGGCGGCGUGCUUAACACAUGCAAGUCGAACGGUGAAGCGCCUUCCUUUUUGGUGGGUGUGGAUGAGUGGCGAACGGGUGAGUAACACGUGAGUAGCCUGCCCCCUUCUUCUGGAUAACCGCAUGAAAGUGUGGCUAAUACGGGAUAUUCUGGGUCUGUCGCAUGAUGGGUCUGGGAAAGAUAUUGUUUCGGUGGGGGAUGGGCUCGCGGCCUAUCAGCUUGUUGGUGGGGUGAUGGCCUACCAAGGCGGUGACGGGUAGCCGGCCUGAGAGGGUGGACGGUCACACUGGGACUGAGACACGGCCCAGACUCCUACGGGAGGCAGCAGUGGGGAAUAUUGCACAAUGGGCGCAAGCCUGAUGCAGCGACGCCGCGUGAGGGAUGGAGGCCUUCGGGUUGUGAACCUCUUUCGCCAGUGAAGCAGGCCUGCCUCGUUUGUGGGUGGGUUGACGGUAGCUGGAGAAGAAGCGCCGGCUAACUACGUG
rnacentral:rRNA from 1 species